rnacentral:rRNA from 1 species
GAUAAACGCUGGCGGCGUGCUUCAGGCAUGCAAGUCGAACGGGCUCAUCCCUUCGGGGAUGGGUCAGUGGCGGACGGGUGAGUAACACGUAAGUAACCUGCCCGGAAGUGGGGAAUAACUUGCCGAAAGGCGAGCUAAUACCGCAUGUGAUGGGACUCCCCUGGGGGUUUCAUGAAAGGCCGAUAGGUCGCUUCCGGAGGGGCUUGCGCUCGAUUAGCUAGUUGGUGGGGUAAAGGCCUACCAAGGCAACGAUCGAUAGCUGGUCUGAGAGGACGACCAGCCACACUGGGACUGAGACACGGCCCAGACUCCUACGGGAGGCAGCAGUGGGGAAUUUUGGACAAUGGGCGCAAGCCUGAUCUAGCAAUGCCGCGUGCAGGAAGAAGGCCUUCGGGUUGUAAACUGCUUUUGUACGGAACGAAACGGCUCUGGUUAAUACCUGGGGCUAAUGACGGUACCGUAAGAAUAAGCACCGGCUAACUACGUGCCAGCCGCCGCCGUAAAAC